rnacentral:rRNA from 1 species
CGCCCUUAGAGUUUGAUCAUGGCUCAGGACGAACGCUGGCGGCGUGCCUAAUACAUGCAAGUAGAACGGAGGAGCUUGCUCUUCGAGUUGCGAACGGGUGAGUAACGCGUAGGUAACCUACCUUGUAGCGGGGGAUAACUAUUGGAAACGAUAGCUAAUACCGCAUAACAAUGGGACACAUGUCUUUAUUUGAAAGGGGAUUGCUCCACUACAAGAUGGACCUGCGUUGUAUUAGCUAGUAGGUGAGGUAAUGGCUCACCUAGGCGACGAUACAUAGCCGACCUGAGAGGGUGAUCGGCCACACUGGGACUGAGACACGGCCCAGACUCCUACGGGAGGCAGCAGUAGGGAAUCUUCGGCAAUGGGGGCAACCCUGACCGAGCAACGCCGCGUGAGUGAAGAAGGUUUUCGGGUCGUAAAGCUCUGUUGUAAGUCAAGAACGGGUGUGAGGAAAUUCACACUGUGACGGUAGCUUACCAGAAAGGGACGGCUAACUACGUGCCAGCAGCCGCGGUAAUACGUAGGUCCCGAGCGUUGUCCGGAUUUAUUGGGCGUAAAGCGAGCGCAGCGGUUUGAUAAGUCUGAAGUUAAAGACUGUGGCUCAACCAUAGUUCGCUUUGGAAACUGUCAAACUUGAGUGCAGAAGGGAGAGUGGAAUUCCAUGUGUAGCGGUGAAAUGCGUAGAUAUAUGGAGGAACACCGGUGGCGAAAGCGGCUCU